CACCCUCUCUCCCUCACCCAUUUCUUCUCCCUCCCCCUAGUCGUGCAUGACUAAGGGAAGGGGUGGGUGAGAUAAAACAGGUGGCGGGUGGAGGAGAGAGAGAUGGGGGGAUAGAAGGAGCACAGAAAAGAAAAGAAAAGAAAAAAAGAUGGUAGUGAUGGUGGUGAGCUAAGAGGUAGGGGAGGAAAAAAAAGAAAGGAAAGAAGGAAUUUUUUUUUAUUUAUUUUUUUUUGUAUGUUGAAGUGUGUAUUUUAAAAAUUUUGGGAAAAUUUUUGAAGUCU
rnacentral:lncRNA from 1 species